rnacentral:rRNA from 1 species
AGAGUUUGAUCCUGGCUCAGGAUGAACGCUAGCGGCAGGCUUAACACAUGCAAGUCGAGGGGCAGCGCGGGAUAGCAAUAUCCUGGCGGCGACCGGCGGAAGGGUGCGUAACGCGUGAGCGACAUGCCCGUUGCCCGGGGACAACCGGUGGAAACGCCGACUAAUCCCCGAUGGGAUACGAUGCCUCAUGGCAUUGUAUUGAAAGUUACGGCGGCGACGGAUUGGCUCGCGUCCGAUUAGCUUGUUGGCGGGGUAACGGCCCACCAAGGCUGCGAUCGGUAGGGGUUCUGAGAGGAAGGCCCCCCACAAUGGGACUGAGACACGGUCCAUACUCCUACGGGAGGCAGCAGUGAGGAAUAUUGGUCAAUGGGCGGAAGCCUGAACCAGCCAUGCCGCGUGCGGGAAGGAGGCCCUAUGGGCUGUGAACCGCUUUUGCCUGGGGGCAAUAAGGGCGUCGCGCACGUCCGAUGAGAGUACCAGGCGAAUAAGCAUCGGCUAACUCCGUGCCAGCAGCCGCGGUAAUACGGGGGAUGCGAGCGUUAUCCGGAUUCAUUGGGUUUAAAGGGUGCGUAGGCUGUGCGUCAAGUCGGGGGUGAAAUUCCGGUGCUCAACACCGGGGCUGCCCUUGAUACUGUCGCGCUGGAGUGCGGAUGCCGCCGGAGGAAUGAGUGGUGUAGCGGUGAAAUGCUUAGAUAUCACUCAGAACACCGAUUGCGAAGGCAUCUGGCGAAUCCGUAACUGACGCUGAGGCACGAAAGCGUGGGGAUAGAACAGGAUUAGAUACCCUGGUAGUCCACGCCGUAAACGAUGAUGGCUAACCGCCGGCGACACACUGUCGGUGGCCAAGCGAAAGCGAUAAGCCAUCCACCUGGGGAGUACGUCGGCAACGAUGAAACUCAAAGGAAUUGACGGGGGCCCGCACAAGCGGAGGAACAUGUG